AGCUUCAGCUGUUUGUGGAAGUCCUUCCUUCCUCAUGAAGUCCAAGAAGAUCUGUUCACACUCUUUCCUUUGUGAUGAGUCAUGACAAGAGUGGCAUGAAUGUCCUGUAUUCUUUGUUCUGUGGAGCUGUUGUAACAUAAGCUGGAUUUUUGCAUUGUUAUUUUAUUACUUCACACCAUUAAAUAAAUGUCACAAAGAAAUAGGCUUACCCGGUAAAUAUACUCGUUAUGGCAUCUGUUUGGGUACAGUUGACUGAAAAGAAGGGACAGAGGAAGAAAAGUUAACAGAAAGACAAAUCCUAUGCUCUUGUUAGUGUGAUUCUUAACACGAUGGUUGACUAAGCUGUAGGUAUUUUCUCAUAUUUUAGAAUGUUUCUUAAUUUCUGUAUUACAAUUGAUAUUCUUAAACAAGCAACCACUCCU